CCUACGGGAGACAGCAGUGAGGAAUAUUGGUCAAUGGACGAGAGUCUGAACCAGCCAAGUAGCGUGAAGGAUGACUGCCCUAUGGGUUGUAAACUUCUUUUAUAUGGGAAUAAAACGUUCCACGUGUGGGAUUUUGUAUGUACCAUAUGAAUAAGGAUCGGCUAACUCCGUGCCAGCAGCCGCGGUAAUACGGAGGAUCCGAGCGUUAUCCGGAUUUAUUGGGUUUAAAGGGAGCGUAGAUGGAUUGUUAAGUCAGUUGUGAAAGUUUGCGGCUCAACCGUAAAAUUGCAGUUGAAACUGGCAGUCUUGAGUACAGUAGAGGUGGGCGGAAUUCGUGGUGUAGCGGUGAAAUGCUUAGAUAUCACGAAGAACUCCGAUUGCGAAGGCAGUUCACUGGACUGCAACUGACACUGAGGCUCGAAAGUGUGGGUAUCAAACAGGAUUAGAUACCCGUGUAGUC
rnacentral:rRNA from 1 species